UACGGGGGGGGCAAGCCUUGUUCGGAAUUACUGGGCGUAAAGGGCUCGUAGGUGGCCAACUAAGUCAGACGUGAAAUCCCUCAGCUUAACUGGGGAACUGCGUCUGAUACUGGAUGGCUUGAGAUUGGGAGAGGGAUGCGGAAUUCCAGGUGUAGCGGUGAAAUGCGUAGAUAUCUGGAGGAACACCGGUGGCGAAGGCGGCAUCCUGGACCAACACUGACACUGAGGAGCGAAAGCCAGGGGAGCAAACGGG
rnacentral:rRNA from 1 species